AGAGUUUGAUCCUGGCUCAGGAUGAACGCUAGCGGCAGGCCUAAUACAUGCAAGUCGAACGGUAAGAUCUCGCUUGCGAGAUACACAAGUGGCGCACGGGUGCGUAACGCGUAUGCAACCUACCUUCAACUGGAGAAUAGCCCCGAGAAAUCGGGAUUAAUACUUCAUAAUAUCCAUUUAUCACAUGUUAGUUGGAUUAAAGCUCCGGCGGUUGGAGAUGGGCAUGCGUGACAUUAGUUUGUUGGUGAGGUAACGGCUCACCAAGACUACGAUGUCUAGGGGUUCUGAGAGGAUUUUCCCCCACACUGGUACUGAGACACGGACCAGACUCCUACGGGAGGCAGCAGUAAGGAAUAUUGGGCAAUGGACGAAAGUCUGACCCAGCCAUGCCGCGUGCAGGAUGACAGCCCUAUGGGUUGUAAACUGCUUUUAUACGGGAAGAAUCCCCUGUACGUGUACAGGGUUGACGGUACCGUACGAAUAAGCAUCGGCUAACUCCGUGCCAGCAGCCGCGGUAAUACGGAGGAUGCAAGCGUUAUCCGGAUUCAUUGGGUUUAAAGGGUGCGUAGGCGGAAUGUUAAGUUAGUGGUGAAAUCCCCCGGCUCAACCGGGGAACUGCCAUUAAUACUGCCAUUCUUGAGUAUAGUUGAAGUGGGCGGAAUGUAUCAUGUAGCGGUGAAAUGCUUAGAUAUGAUACAGAACACCGAUAGCGUAGGCAGCUCGCUAAACUAUAACUGACGCUCAGGCACGAAAGCGUGGGGAGCAAACAGGAUUAGAUACCCUGGUAGUCCACGCCGUAAACGAUGAUCACUCGCUGUUGGCGAUACACAGUCAGCGGCUAAGGGAAACCAUUAAGUGAUCCACCUGGGGAGUACGAUCGCAAGAUUGAAACUCAAAGGAAUUGACGGG
rnacentral:rRNA from 1 species